GACGAACGCUGGCGGCGUGCUUAACACAUGCAAGUCGAACGGAAAGGCCCUGCUUGCAGGGUACUCGAGUGGCGAACGGGUGAGUAACACGUGGGUGAUCUGCCCUGCACUUCGGGAUAAGCCUGGGAAACUGGGUCUAAUACCGGAUAGGAGCCAUUUUUAGUGUGAUGGUUGGUAAGUUUUUUCGGUGUAGGAUGAGCUCGCGGCCUAUCAGCUUGUUGGUGGGGUAAUGGCCUACCAAGGCGGCGACGGGUAGCCGGCCUGAGAGGGUGGACGGCCACAUUGGGACUGAGAUACGGCCCAGACGCCUACGGGAGGCAGCAGUGGGGAAUAUUGCACAAUGGGCGCAAGCCUGAUGCAGCGACGCCGCGUGGGGGAUGACGGCCUUCGGGUUGUAAACUCCGUUCGCUAGGGACGAAGCUUUUUGUGACGGUACCUAGAUAAGAAGCACCGGCUAACUACGUG
rnacentral:rRNA from 1 species